GAGUAAAGCACAAGCAAGAUGUAAACAAACAAUGUGACAGGCUCAGAAGCACACGAGCCCAAGGAGCAAACUGGCAGUAAGGUCACAGGAAAUGAAGAGUGCUCUAAAGCGGCAGGAAGUGGCGCCCUGGGUGGACCCCAGUGCCGGAAUCUGACCUGGACAGGAAGUGAAGGGCAUCAUCUGAGGAGCAGGAAGGGGAGAUUAUUUUUUUGUGUUGGUUGUAGUGAGGAAAAUAAGUGUCGGUUACACAAACCUUGCUAAAGCUUUCAUCCUGUUUGGGGUUUGAGGCGGCUUGAAGCUUCUCUAACAAAGCAAGAGUGGCUGGGGGAAGUAGGGCACAUGCUGCCUUUAAUCCAUUGAGCCUGACCUAGGCACUCGUUGAUGUCCCAAGGAAAUGUUCAAAGAAGAUUUAAAAAAAAAUAAAGUACUGAAGUUCUAACAAAGGCACACAAUUAUAAAAUAACUAGAAAGAAAAGAGAUGAUGAUGUGGAAAAUAGACACACGUCAGUGGUUCUAAAAGAAAGAAGAAAUAAAGGUAUAAAUGUGAUGGACCAGCAGUAGCCAUCUUGGAAACAUAAAGCAAGGAGCCAACAUGCUAAGAGAGAAUCCUCAACAAUACUACUUCCUCUACAGCCCGGAUGUAACCGCAACUGUCUUUAGCGUAAUAUACCCAGGCAUUAUGGGACUUUUCCCUGGGCCUCCAGAGAACGGAGGACUGGAACUCGGCCCCACCAGAAAUCAGACCAGACCAGAACCAGAAUUCGAGUUCUCUGCCAAGAGGAGGUGACCAGUCUCCAAUCCUCAGCUCAGGCUGAGGGCCCUUUGACCAGAUUCCUGCAUCCAGGACAGGGGGACUAGAAAAACAGGUCUGGCACAAAGAAGGUCCUUAAUAAUCAUUCAUUAAAGUUUUAUUUUGAAUCUCACUUCCAUUCUUUUUCUUUAACACCCUCUGCAGGAGGUAAUAAUGAAGACUAAAAUGUCAAGUAGGCAAUAAGAGGAGGCAAUGUAGGAACAGAGAAAAUCCACAAACCUGAUCAUUGGUUCUUGGAUUACUGACCAUUAACC
ensembl:lncRNA